rnacentral:rRNA from 1 species
UACAGAGGGGGCAAGCGUUGUUCGGAAUUACUGGGCGUAAAGGGCGCGUAGGCGGCCUGCUAAGUCGAACGUGAAAUCCCCGAGCUCAACUCGGGAACUGCGUCCGAUACUGGCAGGCUUGAAUCCGGGAGAGGGAUGCGGAAUUCCUGGUGUAGCGGUGAAAUGCGUAGAUAUCAGGAGGAACACCGGUGGCGAAGGCGGGUCUCUGGGCCGAUACUGACGCUGGAGGAGCGAAAGCGUGGGGAGCGAACAGG